GACGAACGCUGGCGGCGUGCUUAACACAUGCUAGUCGAACGGAAAGGCCCUGCUUUUGUGGGGUGCUCGAGUGGCGAACGGGUGAGUAACACGUGAGUAACCUGCCCUUGACUUUGGGAUAACUUCAGGAAACUGGGGCUAAUACCGGAUAGGAGCUCCUGCUGCAUGGUGGGGGUUGGAAAGUUUCGGCGGUUGGGGAUGGACUCGCGGCUUAUCAGCUUGUUGGUGGGGUAGUGGCUUACCAAGGCUUUGACGGGUAGCCGGCCUGAUAGGGUGACCGGCCACAUUGGGACUGAGAUACGGCCCGGACUCCUACGGGAGGCAGCAGUGGGGAAUAGUGCACGAGGGGCGGAAGCCUGAUGCAGCAACGCCGCGUGCGGGAUGACGGCCUUCGGGUUGUAAACCGCUUUCGCCUGUGACGAAGCGUGAGUGACGGUAAUGGGUAAAGAAGCACCGGCUAACUACGUG
rnacentral:rRNA from 1 species